rnacentral:lncRNA from 1 species
CAUCUAUUGGCCAGACCAACCAAUAAGCACAAUACUUGAUGCAAACAAUAUUUGUAAGUAUUUAUUAUUGCUCAAUGUAUAUUAAGCAUUUUUCUAAUUCAAUUUUCAUGACAUGUAGGAUGACGACGAAAGUCAUGCACUAACACAACUUUCAACUUCAAAUGUCUUUGUCAAUUACCAAGGUACAUGUAUGGUUUCAACUGCAGAUUUAGCACAUUCUAAGGUUAACAUGUUGCCAUUUUUAAAUAUUUAUGCUAGGUAAUGCAAUGCCAUACUACUAUCUCAAUUUUUGAUACAACGAUGGAACACAAUGUGGAGUCAUCGAGGAAAGAUACUUAGAACGUCUGCAAUGGGCGUUUUUCUUUUCUUUUCUUUUUUUCAGCCAUCGUCUUCAAUUUACUUGCUAUAUAUAAUUUUGAAUGUAACAAUUCCAGCCAUCGCCUCCUCCAAGUGCCAUAGCAGGUUGGAUGUCAAGUGUCACCAAUUCCAUUCCCCAGGCUGCUAUUGCUGGAGGUCUAUCGAGUGUUGUUUAGAUACCUGGCUCCGGAAUGGCCUAUCAAGCUGCUGAAAGUGGUAUUGGAAUGGCAUCCCAAAAGGCUUGUUCAUCAAGGAGGGUAGAAUUUAAUCCUUCCAAUGCAUCUUAACAAGCGGGGUAUGAAAACAAAUGCGGGAGGAUAUAGUAACAACGCAUGGUGCGAUGGCUGGAUGGACAAUGCUUGUCCUGUGUUCCUUUGACCGAUAUAUAACAAUUUUUUCUAUAACAUUCAGCACUAAGCAUUUUUGUAGUUCAUUUGGAAGACAUGUUGUCUUUUAUGCUACAGAAUUGAUUCAUGUGGUUUGAUAAUUUGUGUGACCCAUAUUUCCCAAAGAAAAUCAAUUUGAUAACUUGAAG